GAGAGAGUUUUUUUAAGUAUAAAAUUUGCUUCCGCUCGAUACACGCCUCCGUCCUCGCCAAAAUUCCGACGCCACGCCUCUCGCUCGCUCCAAGCCAUGGCGGCCUCGGCGCUGCAGCCCCAGCGCCACCUCCUCCUCGCCGGCGGCCGCCUCCUCCGCAUGCUCCCGCCACGCGCGCCCGCCCUCCUACCGCGCCGGCGCCGGCGCCGCGCCAUGAGGGUGUCAUCCGGCGACGGUGGUGGAGCGUCUGCGGGCGCCGUGGAAAAGCGCUCGGUUCCGGGGGCAGUUGGGGAGGAGGAGGAGGAGCAGGGAGCGAGCGGAGAGGAGGAGGGGGAGGGGGAGGAGGUGGCCGGGGCGUUGGAGCUGAGGUGGCCGCCGUGGGAGGGGUUGGCCGAGCGGUACAAGCUCAUCGGCGCCACCUCCCUUGCCUUCGUCAUCUGCAACAUGGACAAGGUUAACUUGAGUGUUGCAAUCAUUCCAAUGUCACAUCAGUAUGGUUGGAACUCAUCAACUGCUGGCUUAGUUCAGUCAUCAUUCUUUUGGGGUUAUGCUUUGAGUCAACUACCUGGAGGAUGGCUGGCAAAAUUGUUUGGCGGAAGGAAAGUGCUUGAGGUCGGUGUUGUGGUGUGGUCUUUGGCCACUGCCAUUAUUCCUUUUGUAGCAGGGUUUAUGCCUGGACUUGUGCUGUCAAGGAUUUUGGUAGGCAUUGGAGAAGGUGUCUCACCAUCAGCUGCUACGGAUUUAAUUGCUAGGUCCAUUCCCUUGCAAGAACGAUCAAGAGCAGUUGCUGUUGUUUUUGGUGGUUUGAGCUUUGGAAGUGUCUUAGGACUUCUGUUUGCUCCUCCCAUUAUUCAGAACCUUGGCUGGGAGUCCGUCUUUUACAUAUUUGGCCUUCUUGGGAUUAUUUGGUGUCUAGGGUUUGAAUCUCUUAAAGAACAACAGUUAGGUGACAAAGAAGGCGUAUUAAAUUUGGGACAAAGUUCUGCUGGACCAGAUGGCCAUAUCUCAUCGGCUGUGUCUUCAAAAUCAUCAGACUCAUCAUUACAUGAUCUGCAGAAUUCACUAAAGGAUGUGCCUUGGGGAGCAUUUUUCAAAAGCAAGGCAUUGUGGGCUAUGAUAUAUGCUCACUUUUGCGGAAGCUGGGGGCAUUAUACUUGUUUGUCUUGGCUACCAACAUUCUUUAGUGAGGAGCUGAACCUAAACUUGACAGAAGCAGCAUGGGUGUCAGUCCUUCCUCCUUUGGGUUCAAUGAUCAUUACAUCUAUCGCAGCACCUUUUGCAGACAACUUGAUAUCAAAUGGAGUUGACACCACAAAGGUACGAAAAAUAUGUCAAACAAUUGCCUUUGUGUCACCUGCAACUUUCAUGAUGCUUUCCUCCGUGGAUCUUGGACUGCCUCCAUGGGAAAUUGUUGUUUUUCUUACAAGUGGCCUAGCACUCUCCAGCUUCGCAUUGUCAGGGCUUUAUUGCACUCAUCAAGAUAUUUCUCGUGAAUAUGCAAGCAUUCUCCUGGUAAGGGAAUCACAAACACUGUAGGCGCUGUGCCUGGAAUUGUUGGCGUUGCACUGACAGGCUAUCUUCUUGAUUCAACUCAUUCUUGGAGUAUAUCACUCUUUGCACCUUCGAUCUUCUUUUACUUGACUGGUACUGUUGUAUGGUUAGCGUUCGCCAGCAGUGAGCCCCAGGAUUUUUCCAAGUCAGAAGGGGAGUCGUGACAUGGAGAGUAAUAUGUAGUUACAUAUGGUUCACCUUUGCACAGAAGGGAUUAUUUCAGAAGGAAAUUUCAUCUUAGUCUAGGCAAAUUGAACUCUUGGACAGUGAACAGAUAUAUAUGUUCCUUCUAAGUCAGUUGUCAGAUAAGAGAAGCCCACUCGUAAAGGGAAAAUAUAGCUUGUAAAUGCCUAUGGGCAUUGUCUGACAUGUAUAUAGGCAUUUUCUGCUCAGUUUUCACAUUUUGACACGAUUUUGGAAGGGUAAGAGGAAUGUAUAUUUGCAGUAAUGCCCUGUUGUAGAGCAGUUACGUGUGGAUAUGUAGAACAGUAUGUUAUUUUUGGUUAGCAGAAUACAAAAUUGGAGUGCAUUGUGCAUCCAAUCUCUGAUGGUGUCUGGCCCCUUUUAAGGACUUGAUUUCCAUUGUCGUUCAUGCAACCUGGGUUUGAUGUUGAA